GACGAACGCUGGCGGCGUGCUUAACACAUGCAAGUCGAGCGGAGCGGCGAACGGGUGAGUAACGCGUGAGUAACUGCCCCCCUCUCUGGGACAACAGUUGGAAACGGCUGCGAAUACCGGAUAGUGGGGGAUGACUCGUGUCCUAUCAGCUUGUUGGUGGGGUAGUGGCCUACCAAGGCGACGACGGGUAGCCGGCCUGGGAGGUCGACCGGCCACAUUGGGCUGGGGUACGGACCAACCGCCUACGGGGGGCAGCAGUGGGGAAUAGUGCAGAAUGGGGGAAACCCUGAUGCAGCAACGCCGCGUGCGGGAUGACGGCCUUCGGGUUGUAAACCGCUUUCAGCCAUGACGCGGUAGUUGCAGAAGAAGCACCGGCUAACUACGUGCCAGCAGCCGCGGUAAUAC
rnacentral:rRNA from 1 species